CGGCGAGUGAAGCGGCAACAGCUCAAAUUUGAAAUCUGGCCCCUAGGGUCCGAGUUGUAAUUUGUAGAGGAUGCUUUUGGUGAGGUGCCGCCCGAGUUCCCUGGAACGGGACGCCGCAGAGGGUGAGAGCCCCGUCUGGCUGGCCACCGAGCCUCUGUAAAGCUCCUUCGACGAGUCGAGUAGUUUGGGAAUGCUGCUCAAAAUGGGAGGUAUAUGUCUUCUAAAGCUAAAUAUUGGCCAGAGACCGAUAGCGCACAAGUAGAGUGAUCGAAAGAUGAAAAGCACCUUGAAAAGAGGGUUAAACAGUACGUGAAAUUGUUGAAAGGGAAGCGCUUGUGACCAGACUUGGGCGCGGCGGAUCAUCCGGGGUUCUCCCCGGUGCACUUCGCCGUGUUCAGGCCAGCAUCAGUUCGGCGCGGGGGAAAAAGGCUUCGGGAACGUGGCUCCUCCGGGAGUGUUAUAGCCCGUUGCAUAAUACCCUGCGCUGGACUGAGGACCGCGCAUCUGCAAGGAUGCUGGCGUAAUGGUCACCAGCGACCCGUCUUGAAACACGGACCAAGGAGUCGUCUUCGUAUGCGAU
rnacentral:rRNA from 1 species